rnacentral:rRNA from 1 species
CCUACGGGCGGCAGCAGUGGGGAAUCUUGGGCAAUGGACGAAACUCUGACCCAGCAAUGCCGCGUGAAUGAAGAAGGUCUUCGGAUUGUAAAGUUCUUUAGUCAGGGAAGAAGUCAAUGACGGUACCUGAAGAAUAAGCUCCGGCUAACUACGUGCCAGCAGCCGCGGUAAUACGUAGGGAGCAAGCGUUGUUCGGAAUGACUGGGCGUAAAGGGUGCGUUGGGGGUGGUACAAGUGAGAAGUGAAAUACCCAGGGCUUAACUCGGGUGCUGCUUCUAAAACUGUAUGACUUGAGUGCAGGAGAGGUUAGUGGAAUUCCUAGUGUAGCGGUGGAAUGCGUAGAUAUUAGGAGGAACACCAGAGGCGAAGGCGGCUAACUGGACUGCAACUGACGCUGAGGCACGAAAGUGUGGGGAGCAAACAGGAUUAGAUACCCCAGUAGUC